UACGUAGGGUGCAAGCGUUGUCCGGAAUUAUUGGGCGUAAAGAGCUCGUAGGCGGUUUGUCGCGUCUGCUGUGAAAACUGGAGGCUCAACCUCCAGCCUGCAGUGGGUACGGGCAGACUAGAGUGCGGUAGGGGAGAUUGGAAUUCCUGGUGUAGCGGUGAAAUGCGCAGAUAUCAGGAGGAACACCGGUGGCGAAGGCGGGUCUCUGGGCUGAUACUGACGCUGAGGAGCGAAAGCGUGGGGAGCGAACAGG
rnacentral:rRNA from 1 species